AGCUGUGGAUCGGCAUCAGGAC
rnacentral:miRNA from 1 species